AGAGUUUGAUCCUGACUUAGGAUGAACGCUAGCGGCAGGCCUAAUACAUGCAAGUCGAACGGGAUAGGCUCCUCGGGGGCCUGAGAGUGGCGCACGGGUGCGCAACGCGUAUGCAACAACCCCCGACAGGCGGAUAGCCGGUGGAAACGCCGGAUAAUACGCCAUGGUUCCGGUGGAGGGCAUCCUCUACUGGAUAAAGCCGAGAGGCGGUCGGGGACGGGCAUGCGUCCCAUUAGAUGGUAGGCGGGGUGACGGCCCACCUAGUCCACGAUGGGUAGGGGAUCUGAGAGGACGGUCCCCCACACUGGUACUGAGACACGGACCAGACUCCUGCGGGAGGCAGCAGUAAGGGAUAUUGGUCAAUGGGCGGAAGCCUGAACCAAGCCAUGCCGCGUGAGGGAAUGAGGCCCUACGGGUCGUGAACCUCUUUUAUUCGGGGACAAGGACGCGGUCGGGAACCGUGUUUGAGGGUACCGAAGGAAUAAGCGUCGGCUAACUCCGUGCCAGCCGCGGC
rnacentral:rRNA from 1 species